AGUGGCAAACGGGUGAGUAACACGUGGGUGACCUACCUUCGAGUGGGGGAUAACGUCCCGAAAGGGACGCUAAUACCGCAUAACAUCCUGUCCUUGAACGGAUGGAGAUCAAAGCCGGGGAUCGCAAGACCUGGCGCUUGGUGAGGGGCCCGCGUCUGAUUAGCUAGUUGGUGAGGUAACGGCCUACCAAGGCGACGAUCAGUAUCCGGCCUGAGAGGGCGGACGGACACACUGGGACUGAGACACGGCCCAGACUCCUACGGGAGGCAGCAGUGGGGAAUUGUUCACAAUGGGCGCAAGCCUGAUGACGCAACGCCGCGUGGAGGAUGAAGGUCUUCGGAUUGUAAACUCCUGUUGCUCGGGACGAAAAGCCUCGGCCUAAUACGCCGAGGUCUGACGGUACCGAGUGAGGAAGCCCCGGCUAACUCUGUGCCAGCAGCCGCGGUAAUACAGAGGGGGCAAGCGUUGUUCGGAAUUACUGGGCGUAAAGGGCGCGUAGGCGGCCCGCUAAGUCGAACGUGAAAUCCCCGAGCUCAACUCGGGAACUGCGUCCGAUACUGGCGGGCUUGAAUCCGGGAGAGGGAUGCGGAAUUCCAGGUGUAGCGGUGAAAUGCGUAGAUAUCUGGAGGAACACCGGUGGCGAAGGCGGCAUCCUGGACCGGCAUUGACGCUGAGGCGCGAAAGCUAGGGGAGCAAACGGGAUUAGAUACCCCGGUAGUCCUAGCCCU
rnacentral:rRNA from 1 species